rnacentral:rRNA from 1 species
UACAGAGGGUGCGAGCGUUGUUCGGAAUUAUUGGGCGUAAAGCGCAUGUAGGCGGGAUGUUAAGUCGCGUGUGAAAGCCCCAGGCUCAACCUGGGAAGUGCGCGCGAAACUGGCAACCUUGAGUGCUGGAGAGGGUGGCGGAAUUCCCGGUGUAGAGGUGAAAUUCGUAGAUAUUGGGAAGAACACCGGUGGCGAAGGCGGCCAUCUGGACCGCAACUGACGCUGAGGCGCGAAAGCGUGGGGAGCAAACAGG